GCCCAGUAAUAUAUUUCUUUCUCGUGCCAUUAAAAACACAAAAUCCUGGUAUUACAAAACGCACCUUGUUACCAUGUGUCAUUAUGACCCAGAUAUUCUUUAAGAUGGGCCUCAUGCUCGUCAGGAGAAAUCUGUUUAUCUUUCCACAAGUUUUCAAGCGUUCUUGUCCCUCGAAUCUUUGAUGUGGUUUCAUGAUAAAGCUUGCAA
rnacentral:misc_RNA from 1 species